rnacentral:rRNA from 1 species
CAGAGGGUGCAAACGUUGCUCGGAAUCACUGGGCGUAAAGGGCGUGUAGGCGGGAAGGAAAGUCAGAUGUGAAAUCCCUGGGCUCAACCCAGGAACUGCAUUUGAAACUCCCUUUCUUGAGUGUCGGAGAGGAAAGUGGAAUUCCUGGUGUAGAGGUGAAAUUCGUAGAUAUCAGGAGGAACACCGGUGGCGAAGGCGGCUUUCUGGACGACAACUGACGCUGAGACGCGAAAGCGUGGGGAGCAAACAGGAUUAGAUACCCUGGUAGUCCACGCUGUAAGCGAUGAACACUAGGUGUCGUGGGUAUUGACCCCCGCGGUGCCGCAGCUAACGCAUAAAGUGUUCCGCCUGGGAAGUACGGUCGCAAGACUA